GUUUCAAUCCAUUACUUUUUAAACAUUAUUUUUUUGCCUGACUGGAUGAACAUUGUUUCCAUGUUUAUUCAGAAGACACUGUAACAAAAUUGAAAAUAAAAAUAUCAAUGUUGAAGGCCUACUGUAGACUUUAUCAAGAAAGCAAAAAGUGGUCUAUUAAUUAUUUCCAAAGCUAUAUGUCCUCCAGAUGUGAUUACUUGGUGUCUUGGAUUUUGAAGGCAGAGCAUGUCUAGAACUGACUUGUCUCUGGAGAGAAGUGGAGGUGUGGAGGGAACAGAGUUAGAGCUGGCAAACAUGACCCUUCCCCCCAGCUAGUUCCGCCACAGCGAGGUAAGAGACUUAUUCACCCUCCCUAAAACACAUCCACAAUCUAGGAAUGAGGAACUGAUAAGAUAUGGGUUUUAAAACCACACUGACCUUCAUGUAAUAAACUUUUUAUUGAACAACCAGUAUGACAAUAUUGUUACGAAAGGUGUGCCUUAAGUUUCAUUCUGAUAAAAUAUAUUGUUCUCACAGUGGUUUCACUUUGCAUUAGCAAGUAUAUCUAUCUAUCUAUCUAUCUAUCUAUCUAUCUAUCUAGCUAUCUAGCUAUCUAGCUAUCUAUCUAAGCAAUAAAAAAUGCUUUACCUUUGUCUGCAAGCUAUUAUAUAAAUCUGACACUUUGAAUCUUUAUUAGUUAGAAAUAAAAUACCCCUCCUUUUUUUUUUAAGAAACUUUAAAACAAAAACAAAAUAUGUCAUAACCAACACAUGCUUAGGUGAGAAGGAAGCACCUGUCAUUUCUUAGAUGGGUUGCUAGGACAAAGUGUCCCCAGGCGUCCCCGUUGUUUGCUCUCCCUCUUUGAUGGAUAACGCUAUCACUGGAUUCAAUCUAAGGCAAGGAAGUAGCUACUUGCACAAUGGGGAUAUUACCGGUUCAAGACUUAAACUCUUAUGAGUAGCUGCCGGUAAAUGAACCAUAUCCAUGUCAGAGCAUUUCUCAUUCCUUGGUUGACUGUGUGACAGUGGGUUUUGGCACUCAAACCGAAAACAUGAUGGGUCUAUUAGGUUCAAGCCAUCAGGAUACAAAAAGAUUUGCUUUGAAAUGCUGUUUUUGGCAUUGUGCAAUUCAUGUAGUUGAUAUUUGAUAUAACAAGAUAGUGGGGAUCAAUAGAUAUGCUGUUUUCAGGACAGACACUGAUACUGAAUAUUAGCAAUCAAAGAGACCACAGGAUGAAAUUUGGAACUAGUACAUUUGCAGUUGAAAUAAAAAUGUUGGUGUCAAAGUGCUGGUUAAAAUGAAAAAUGACACAUAAUUUCAUUACUAAUGCUUUUGUAUAUUCAUGUUUUAUAUGUGUUUUUUAGGAGAACUUUUCCACAUUAGUCCUACAGUGUUGCUGUUACUUAGAAAGGAGAGAGAGAAGAACUUUAUUGUCAUUGCACACUUUCAUAUACAAUGAAAUUACUUAUAACUAGUAAUCAAACAGACAGAGCUGUGGAUGGGACAUUGACUGAGACCACAAAGUCGUGACUACAGACAGGAAGAAGUGGCUGUAUCAGAGCCAACACAACAUAUUUUGAAAUGCACGUAUAUAACAGAAACUGUUUUUAAAAAUAAUAAUACUUAUUAACAGAAAAAUGCUGAAUACCAGAUCACCUAGGGUAGAGAGCAGUCAGUGAUCUUUUAGACAGAGGUCUUUACAGGGGAAAAUGUACUAUAAUCUACUGACAAGGUACAGUGUUUGCUGGUAAAGAACCUUUAUUCAAUAUACAAGCCUCUGGGCAUGCCAUUAAAUUGUAAUUCUUCUGUUUUUCACCAAGCGUUUAAGAUCUAAGCUUGUACAAAUGAAAACCAAACAAAGCUGAACAUUUUAAUCAGUUUUGCCUGGAUUGGAGGCAUAAGCACCAGCAGACAACCAAACACGUUCUUAAAAAAGAAUUUAACACCUCGGAAAUCCCCAUUCAUACAGCAUAGCACGGUGUAGCCCACUUUCCUGACUGAUGUAAAAUGCUUAUAUAAUUUGCAAAUAUAAGAUGUGCUCUGUCAUCCAGGUUUUUCCAGUUUGUCACAGAGGACCGACAUGUGCUGUGGGUGAGUCAUUCUGCUUCACUCGUCUCUCCUUCUCCAGGUGAACAGUCUUUGAUGGUUUGUCACAGGUCGGAUCCAUCCCCAGAGGCUAACAUCAGUCAGCCUUUGCCCACAACCUAGUGAGUCCAGCUGUCUUGGCAUCAGUCAGCUGAGUACAUGGAAAUCCCCAGCUGACAGACUGCAUCCUGAUAGAUUUUUUUUUUUAACUCCAUUAUUAUUAGUGUUUUGGAAGCAAUUACCAUAACACUGACAGCAUUUAUCACCCAACAAGAAAGCAUUGUCACUCAUAACAAAAUGAUCCAUAAAGAACUGACAGGGAGUAGCAUUGCACUGUGCAUUAUGGAUGUUUUGGAAGUUACAUCGUGGAUUGUGCUACCACAUUAUUUAUGUUACAGAAGUUAAUCAGACCCUUUACAUUAUGGCUUACUAGGCUUUGUUACUGUAAAAUAUUUCCAGAAAUACAAAACAACAUAAACAUUCAGAUGUAUAGACACAUUCAUUUAUAUAUCAUACAUGAAUUAGAAGAGCUAAUACAAGUAGGUGUCUGUGUGGUCUAUUUUGUUCUAAUCUAUUCAUGCUGAUGAAGUCCAGUCUAGUCUGUUUUGCUGUGUCUAUGUGAGCCACCGGGCAGUAAGGCCACCUGCAUGCACACACACACACAGAGCUACCAAAUGGAUACACAACAUCACAAGCUACAGGUGGCUCCAUAAACAGGUUUGGGUCUGCAUUAGCUGUGAACUGGUGGCUUAUGAUGGUAAUAACUGGUUCCAAAUGCCCUCAUACUUAGGCAUUUUGUUGUUAAAACGGGCCAGAAAAUAAAACUAAACAGCACACAUGGUAGGUCUAGUCACUAUAAUGUGUGGCACAACUGACAGUCAGAAAGUAUGAAACUAAGAUGUGUAUGACCUACAAUUCUAGUCAAGGUUUUUCAUGUGGUAUGCAAAUGUGCUGACCAAGCUACCAGGAGACACAGUUAUUUAAAAAAAAAUUACUGAUCCUUUAGGUUUUGGUUUUAACUUUGUUUUUUGCAAGAACAAUGUAGAAAUCACAUGCAUACAAACAGGAGGAUUAUUUUUGAAAUUACAUUUUUUUGAUUGCAUAAACACUAAAAUCAAAGUAUUACACAAUUAUCAAAACCUUACACUCAAGGAGCAAAACACCGGACCAGAUUAGCACAACUAUAAGCACAAUGUCAGCUUCACACUUUUUGCAAACCAAUGCACACAGUGAAUUGCAAAACAGUAAACACACUUAUAAACAUUCGACACAGAUGCACAUCAUGAUUAGCCUAGCCGCGCUAGACAACCCACGGCAACGAAUUUAAUUCUCUGCCAGGGUGGGUCUAGUUACCCUCCAUAAGGCUCGAGGCUGGAUUCUCCUAAAACUGGCCGGACGAAUCACCAUGAAGUGUAGAGUCAGAAGGCGGGCGUAACUAAGUGACGACAGAGGCGCGACGAUUCUGACAGAAACAACCGGAAACAACUAGCCUAGCCGUGCUAGACAACCCAUGGCAACGAAUUUAAUUCUCUGCCAGGGUCGACAACAAAAACGACAACAGUCGUUGAGCUCCAUUAGCACCGACUCUGAAUAAUCUUUCUGUUAACAUGUCUGUAAUAUACUUGAGCUUCACCCAUUGGCUGUAUAAAUAAGGCUUCACCAAACUACCGCAUCCUCUGAUUUCCGGCGCUCGAGGAGCCUAUUCAUUGCGCUGAUUGGUUGUAUACCUACCCAAUUGCUGCAGAGUGAUUUGAUAGACAACCUUUUAGCCCGCCUCCCUCCCUGUCGAGCGUGCCUAGACCCUUGUGCCUUCAGAACAUGGGUCUAGCGCGGCUAGGCUACAUCAUGAUGUCACUUCCUUGCAAAUUCCAAAGCACUGACUUUCAAAUGACCACAGCCAUUAGUUGAUUAAACACAACACUCAGGUGCACAAACACAUGAUUGCUUAAUUGUAGACACACCAAUCAGGUUUAAGCACUAUAAAAAGAUAGCAGGUGAGCUCACCUGUCCAGCUUCAAUCAUGGAAUGAGUAAGAUGAGGAAGAGUGACAAUGAGAGGAGGAAUACAAAGAGAAGGAGAAGGAGGUAGAGAAAGAGGUGGAGGCAGAGGCUGUGCUAGAGGUCAACGCUGAGGUGGAGGUACAGGAAGACCUGAAGCAGGAAUGCAUGCUCUAAGAAGGAGAGGACUAAAUUUGUCAAAUGAAAUUCAGGCAACAUUAGUUGACCAUGUGGUGAACCACGGACUGACGCUGAAGGAGGCUGGACUGAGAGUUCAGCCAACUCUUAGCAGAUAUACAAUGGCAUCUGUGAUCAGGACGUUUCCACAAGAAAACAGGUAAAAACAAAUCUUUCUACAAAAGUAAUCAGUUACUUAGUAUGUACCAUAUCAGCACUGUUCAUACUGGUUCCUGUGAGAUUUUACAACAGGGUACAUGUAUUUUCGUCACACAUAGGAUUCAGGGGUGAGAGCGACAAGGAGGAAGGGCACCUAUUUUCACACCAGGGCAAGAAAGAGCAAUCAUAGACAUGGUUCUAGCCAAUACUGCAACAAGGCUCAGAGAAAUUUAAGUCAACAUCACUGGUGAUGAUAGUGUUUUUCAGUAAUGUUCAUCAGGUCUCUCUAUCAGCACUGACACGCAUCCUGAAAAAAAAUCAGCUUCAAAUGAAACAACUGUAUCGAGUGCCUUUUGAGCGGAAUUCGGAGAGGGCAUGCAUGUGUGGAGGUACGUAUUGUUCACUUUAGAACUGUGGUGUUACACACUGCACAUGUACCCUAAAUUUGCUGUGUGUUAGAUGAUCCAUGCUAAGCUACACAAUCUUGUCUUUCACUGUAUUACAGAGAGUUUUACAGAUGGAUGCUGAAGAAAUCCCACACAAGUUUAUCUACAUUGAUGAGGAAGGGUUUAAGCUGACAAAAUCAGGAACAAGAGGCAGAAACAUCACUGGCCAUAGGGCUGUAAUCAAUGUCCCAGGGCAGCGUGGGAGUAACAUCACCCUCUGCGCUGCCAUUACACAGAAAUGGGGUCCUUCUCCAUCAUGCCAAUAUGGGCCCUUAUAACACACCUCACAUUCUGACAUUUCUGGACCAAUUGCACAACAUCCUGACAGUGAACCAAAUAAAACAGAUGCGUUAUAUAUUGUCAUGUGGGACAAUGUAUCAUUCCACCACUCUGCACAGGUCCAUAACUGGUUUCAGCACAUUCUUCAAUUUUCUGUGUUAUACCUUCCACCAUACUACCCAUUUCUCAAUCCAAUCGAGGAGUUCUUUUCAACAUGGUGGUGGAAGGUUUAUGAUCUCCAGCCCCAGGCUCAGGUGCCCCUCAUCCAGGCCAUGGAGGAGGCCUGUGACCAAAUUGACGCCAUUCAAGGAUGGAUUCGACCUGUACGGCGGUUCUUCCCUUGUUGUCUUGCUAAUGAAGACAUCGCCUGUGAUGUCGAUGAACUUCUCUGGCCUGAUCCAGCUCAGCGAAGAGGUAAUCCCUAAUAUUUUCCCUGCUGGAUUUUUUUCUUUCUUUUUGGUCAAUUUUUUCCCCCACAUAUUUUUAUAGUAUUUUUUUGUUGUUUGUGUGUGUAAUUUUAUUUUUUAGUGUUAUGCACACUACUGUUGUAGCAUGGACAUCUUUUGUUUAAAUUUUGACUGAUUUAGGUAUAUAGAGAGAAAUAAAUUAUAUUUUCAUCCUUCUGCAGCAUUGGUCUUGUGUUGUAUUUGGUGAAUUUUACUGUAUAUUUGCACUCUGUGUGUACUUCACUUGCAUUACUUAAAUCACUGAGAAAUAGGAUUGCUAAAAAAUGUUUUAGGUUAAGCACAGCAGUGUGUAACUGGUUCAGACAGAAUUAAGUCAUAUGAAACGUGUUUUCAUACGGUAACAAAAUAUAAUUUUUAUAAAGUAGUGUAUAGUUUUUACAAGAGUGUUUCAUUUUGCAAAGGAUCUGAGGUGUUCUGCUAAUUGUGUCUAUGGUUGUCCUAAUUGUGUGCAGUGUUUUGAAAAACCGGGUCCUCUACUCAAAAUCGUGCUUAAGCAAUUGAAAAAAAAACUGUAAUAUCGUCAACAGUUUCACUUUUUAUGUACCACUGCCCUCUGUUGGUGGGAAUAGUGACAUGCCUCCAUAAACAAAGCACUGUGCUAUCGACCAAUGAUGUCGACAAAUGAGCUGCUAUGAAGUUCAGGAUGCACGAGCUUUGAAAAAAAUAUGGCUUUGUCCUGAAUGUGUAUACAGAAUAAACUGGUAAUACGAUUUCCAUUGGUGGGUGUAAUAUUUUUCAGUAGUUUAAUGUGAGCCUGUUUGUGAUGGAGAUUCAGCAGCGACAGGGGAGAAAAGAUACAAAAGGUCUCCACUUUCAUCCUGGAUUCUUCUCAGAUGGAACAAUGUCUAUAAGUCAUGCAAAGGUAUGCUGUUUUAGCUCCCUUUAUGUCAGAACCAACUACAUUAGCUAUUUGUAAUAAUGUGGAUGCUAGGCCUAAAGAAUAUUUAUAGGUUAUUUAACUCAGCAUGCAUGUAAAUAUAUGUAAUGUUGUAUUCUGUGCCAUGUAUAGAUAAUGUACGGAUGGAUGUAUUCCUGUAAAGAUCAUUAAGUGUUUUGGGAGUUUGUACUUCUCUUUUUGUUGUUGUUGUUGUUGUUGUUAAGGGUUUAAAGACAAUUAUUUAUUUAAUUAUCUAACAUUCAAGUCACAAUUAAUUGUUAUUUUUUUGAAAUUUAUUAUUCUGCAUGACAAACUGUGUCCUAAGCAUGUGAUUAGGCUCAAAAAUUAAAGCCCAGAACAAUUUUUAUUCUCAUGAAUUCACCUUGACUAAUGAGACUUACGAGGCCAACAAACCAAAGAGAGAUUAUUGGUGAAGUUUGGUUUCUCUGUAAUCCCAUCCUUUAACUCACAGGCUUAGUGAACCCUACAGACAAUAAUGAUUGUUUAGGUGAUAAAUAUAAUUCACAAUAGUUUAGGUGACUAAUGGUAACAUAUCUGUUAUUAACUAUGCCAUCAGCUACUACAUAGAUUGUUAUAAAUUUUAUUCAGCUUUUCAGGGGUGCAGACAAUAGUGUUUGGUUUCUGCUGACUUGAUGGUCAAUGUGAGCAGAUGCUGACUGCAGGGUGGACUAUAAAAAGACUACUGUCAAGCCAGACACAAGCUACUUCCCAUAUGAGUGUUGCCCUCAAUAUGUCAAACUCUUUUUGCAAACUCAUGCACACUGUUUACUCACCCAAAAAUAUGUUGCUCUGCAAGAUUUUAAGGCCAGCCACAAGUUUAAGUUAGUCUUUUGACACAAAUGAAAUGAAAUCUCGGUAAGGUGAAGAAACUAGGACAAUGGUUGAAGGUGCAUGGACUCACAAGUUCAGGCCAAACCUCAUCAUGUUUUUAAUAACAACAUGUUCCAAAGAGGUUCUAGUGAUGUCACAUAAUGUUUGGCCAUUUCAUGUAUUUUAUUGCCACAUAUCUUAAACUUGGAUUCUUCAGCAUAUUGCUCUUUUUUUUAUCAUUCACUAUGAAAUGUUGGUACAUCUUAGCUCAUCCCAAGUGUCUGACCUUGUUUCCCCUCCUAACAAGUGGCUGACACCAUGACUAGACAGCUGUCUUUUGAAAGUACUUUUGCUGUUUGGAAUCUUGCAGUCUGUAUUUAUUCAAUUCUGUGUCUUUGAUGAAAUGGUUUUUCUAUCUCUCAGUGAAUAAAGCUUGAUGUCUGAUUGUG